UACGUAGGGGGCAAGCGUUGUCCGGAUUUAUUGGGCGUAAAGAGCUCGUAGGCGGUUCCGUAAGUCGUGAAGUCAAAUCUCUGGGCUCAACCCAGAAUCGCUUCCGAUACUGCGGUGACUGGAGUCCGGUAGGGGAGUGUGGAAUUCCUGGUGUAGCGGUGAAAUGCGCAGAUAUCAGGAGGAACACCAACAGCGAAGGCAGCACUCUGGGACGGUACUGACGCUGAGACGCGAAAGCGUGGGUAGCAAACGGG
rnacentral:rRNA from 1 species